rnacentral:misc_RNA from 1 species
GAUGAAGAACGUAGCGAAAUGCGAUACUUGGUGUGAAUUGCAGAAUCCCGUGAACCAUCGAGUCUUUGAACGCAAGUUGCGCCCGAAGCCACUAGGCCGAGGGCACGCCUGCCUGGGCGUCACACGCCGUUGCCCCCCCAUCUACUCUUUCGGGAUUGCGGGGGGGCGGAUGAUGGCCUCCUGUGCGCCUAGCCGCGCGGUUGGCAUAAAUACCAAGUCCUCGGCGACGCACGCCACGACAAUCGGUGGUUGCGAAACCUCGGUUGCCCGUCGUGUGCGUUCGUCGCGCAUCGAGGGCUCGAAAAAAUGCUCGGCUCCGGCUGGGCUUUCAACGCGACCCCAGGUCAGGCGGGGUUACCCGCUGAAUUUAAGCAUAUCAAUAAGCGGAGGA